rnacentral:lncRNA from 1 species
CCCAUCCACAGUACUUGAAGAAACAGCUCUAAUUCUUUCAGCAACUCUAGGGUUGGUAACCAAGGAAGAAACAGAAGAAAAAGGGUCUUGUUAUCCCUCUUUUGUCCUGGACCCCAACAGAAGAAUCAACAGGAAGGAAUGAUCAAUUAUAGGCCCCAACAGGGAAAGAUGUACAUCGCAUCUCCGACAAGAUAUUGACUACCUGCAACUCAGCCAAUGAAAAACUGUAACCCUGGACCCAUGCUUUUCUCCAAAGGACUUUUUGUUUAAAACACCUUCUCCUAACUUCCUCCUCCUCCUCCAUAAAACAAUUGUUCCUCAACUUUGUUGUACUUGCCUAUGGUUUUGUCAUAGCUAAAUUGCAUUUCUCUGUUAUUUCUAAAUUGCAUUUCUCUGUUAUUUCCAAAUAAGCC